rnacentral:rRNA from 1 species
CAAUUGUUCGCCAAACAACUACGAGUAGUAACUUAAAACUUAAAAGACUUGACGGUACUUCACCACAAUCUAGAGGAGCCUGUCUAAUAACCGAUAACCCACGAUUAACCCAACCCCCUCUUGCCAACAGUCUAUAUACCACCGUCGCAAGCUUACCUUAUAAAAGAAACAAAGUAAGCUAAAUAGCAUUUCACUAAAACGACAGGUCGAGGUGUAACUCAUGAGCGGGACCUAGAUGGGCUACAUUCUCUCCCUCACCAAGAACUAGGUGUUUGAAGGAGGAUUUAGCAGUAAGAUAGGAAUAAAAUGCCUAACUGAACAUAACGCAAUGAAGUGCGUACACACCGCCCGUCACCCCUG